GAGGCACUACGGUGCUGAAGCGACAAAUGCCCUGCUUUCAGGAAAAGCCUCUAAGCAUCAGGUAACAUCAAAUCGUACCCCAAACCGACACAGGUGGUCAGGUAGAGAAUACCAAGGCGCUUGAGAGAACUCGGGUGAAGGAACUAGGCAAAAUGGUGCCGUAACUUCGGGAGAAGGCACGCUGAUAUGUAGGUGAAGCGACUUGCUCGUGGAGCUGAAAUCAGUCGAAGAUACCAGCUGGCUGCAACUGUUUAUUAAAAACACAGCACUGUGCAAACACGAAAGUGGACGUAUACGGUGUGACGCCUGCCCGGUGCCGGAAGGUUAAUUGAUGGGGUUAGCGGCAACGCGAAGCUCUUGAUCGAAGCCCCGGUAAACGGCGGCCGUAACUAUAACGGUCCUAAGGUAGCGAAAUUCCUUGUCGGGUAAGUUCCGACCUGCACGAAUGGCGUAAUGAUGGCCAGGCUGUCUCCACCCGAGACUCAGUGAAAUUGAACUCGCUGUGAAGAUGCAGUGUACCCGCGGCAAGACGGAAAGACCCCGUGAACCUUUACUAUAGCUUGACACUGAACAUUGAGCCUUGAUGUGUAGGAUAGGUGGGAGGCUUUGAAGUGUGGACGCCAGUCUGCAUGGAGCCGACCUUGAAAUACCACCCUUUAAUGUUUGAUGUUCUAACGUGGGCCCGUAAUCCGGGUUGCGGACAGUGUCUGGUGGGUAGUUUGACUGGGGCGGUCUCCUCCUAAAGAGUAACGGAGGAGCACGAAGGUUGGCUAAUCCUGGUCGGACAUCAGGAGGUUAGUGCAAUGGCAUAAGCCAGCUUGACUGCGAGCGUGACGGCGCGAGCAGGUGCGAAAGCAGGUCAUAGUGAUCCGGUGGUUCUGAAUGGAAGGGCCAUCGCUCAACGGAUAAAAGGUACUCCGGGGAUAACAGGCUGAUACCGCCCAAGAGUUCAUAUCGACGGCGGUGUUUGGCACCUCGAUGUCGGCUCAUCACAUCCUGGGGCUGAAGUAGGUCCCAAGGGUAUGGCUGUUCGCCAUUUAAAGUGGUACGCGAGCUGGGUUUAGAACGUCGUGAGACAGUUCGGUCCCUAUCUGCCGUGGGCGCUGGAGAACUGAGGGGGGCUGCUCCUAGUACGAGAGGACCGGAGUGGACGCAUCACUGGUGUUCGGGUUGUCAUGCCAAUGGCACUGCCCGGUAGCUAAAUGCGGAAGAGAUAAGUGCUGAAAGCAUCUAAGCACGAAACUUGCCCCGAGAUGAGUUCUCCCUGACCCUUUAAGGGUCCUGAAGGAACGUUGAAGACGACGACGUUGAUAGGCCGGGUGUGUAAGCGCAGCGAUGCGUUGAGCUAACCGGUACUAAUGAACCGUGAGGCUUAACCUU
rnacentral:rRNA from 1 species